AUAAAAUAAAGAAAUAAAAAUAAAAUAUUAGCUGUAAAAACAAUGGAUUAGAUUAAGGAUAUCACAGAACAAGUCACUGCGCCGGUAGUUAGCUUGUUUCAUUUCCUGGGCUUGAGGCUUUAACAAAGUCUUACCCCUUUCUUAUGUUUGUAACUUUCUAAAAAUCUUAAAUUGUUGUCACCAAAUUUUAUAAUCUGAUAUUCUAGAACAAAAAAUACAGUGACCAAAAUUAGCUCACUGAUUUUAACAACAGAAUAGACAAAACUACAGAGAAAAUUAGUGACUUAGAGCAGUGCUACUCAAAAUGCGUUCUAUAGCUACUAGUGUCUGGACUGGCUGCUGUUUCCCAAAGUCAAUAAUAGCAGUCCACAAUAAGAUGUGAAACUUGUGCGAGAAUGUAAGCAACUUUGACACUAAGCACACUACUUAGUUCAAAUGGCAUUUUCUUGAUAGCAAUACUUUGUGAAGAAAGGAUUUGUUGAUUUGCAUUAUGGGGCAAGCUCUUUAUCUGUUGUGGACUGGACCUUUGAGUAGCAGUGAUCUAGAGGAUAAUUGGGAAAAAAAUAUCCAGAAUGAAGCACAAAGAGACAAAAGGGUGAAAAUAUAGAAAGGAAAGGAAAGAGAUUUAGGGGAUGAAGCAAGGUAUAAUUUGCAAAUAGAAAAGAUGAAUAGUCCUAUAACUGUUAAAACAGUGCAUCUCAAAAUAUUUGUGUUGAUGACCAAUACUUUGAUAAAAUACAGUAAAAACAGCAGUGUUAAGCUAUUUUAAACACUUAAUCUUCAUUUUCUGUACUAUUCUCUUUAUAGACUGGUACAAAUGGUUCACAAACUAGUACUGGUCUAUAGACCAUAGUUUUAGUGGCAUGGUACUAAAAGAAAUUGAAUUCAUAAUUAAAAUCUUUCCCACUAAAAGAAUUCUAGUUUCCUAUGACUUCACUAGUGAAUUUUAUAAAUAUUUAAGGAAGAAAUAAUUAUACAGACUUUUCAGAAUAUAGAAAAGAAGGAAAUAUUCCCUGACUCUUUUUAAAAGGCCAGUGUAACCCUGAUAAUCAAAUCUGACAAAGACAUUACAAUAAAAGAAAAUUUCAGGAUAGUCUCACUUGUAAACUUCAAUAUAAAAAAUCUUCAACAAAAUACAUACUGGCAAACCAAAUCCAGCACUAUAUUGUGGCCUACUUGGUUUUAUUUCAGGAAUGCAGGGCAGCUUUAACAUUUGAAGACUAAUGUCAUUUACCAUUUUAAGAGAAUGAAGGAGAAAUAUAUCAUCAUCUUGAUAAAUGCUAAGAAAUCAUUUGAUAAGGUUCAGCAUUCAUUCAUGGUAAAAACUCUUAGCAAAUAGCAAUAAAAAAGGGAUUACUAAAUUUACAACAAACUUAUAGCAAAUAAUAAUUCACAGUGACAUGUUGAAAUUUUCCCUUUUGAGGUCAGAAAUGAGGCAAGGAUGCCUUCUAUCACUUCUAGUCAAGGUGUAAUACCUUAAUAGUUAAAGCUAUAAAACUGAAAAGGAAGAAAUAAACCUAUCAUUAUUCAUAUACAAUGUGACUGCAAAUCCUUAAGAUUCUAGAAAAUCCAAAAGAAGGAUCCAAAACAAGGUUUUUGGAUAUAAGGAUCAUAUACAAAAAAAUAAAUUAUUUCUAUAUAAUGGCAAAAAAGUAAUUUUAGAAUGGCGCCAUUCACCAUGGCAUCAAUAAAAUUAAAUAUAUAGGACUAAAUCUAAAGAAAACCCUCUACACAAUAAAUUAUAAAACAUUACUGAGACUCAAUAAUUUUUUUAAAACAUUGAGAAAAACCUUUAAAAGACCUAAAUAAAUGGAGCAUUUAUUGCAUAUAUGGAUUGAAAUUGUCAGUAUUAUAAAGAUGUUGAUUUACUUUAAAUUAAUCUACAGAUUCAAUGUAAUCUCAAACAGAAUCUCAAAAGGGUUUAUUGGGAAGGGUGGGUAUAGACUUUGAAUCUCUGAUUGUAAAAUUUAUAUGGAAAUGUAAAGAGUUAAAUAGCCAAGACACUCUUGAAGAUGAAGAACAAAUGUCGGAGGACUUGUUUUAUUUGAUAUUAAGACCUAUUGUAGGGGCAGUGGGCGACAGCAGAGGCAGCCCGCUGCCUGCGCACCUCAUGGCUGUGUGGGCUGUGCUGGCCUCACUGGUGGAGUUGGGCUUUGCCAAAGAGGUGCUGGCGUGGCGGCUACGUAGCAACCAGUUCCCCAGCAAGGUGGAUAGGCGGCUGGGCAAGGCCAGGCUGCCAGGGCCUGGGGCCUGGCCUGCGCACUCUGCAGCUGCCGGUUCGCCUUUCUUCUGCAGGUGUACAUGCCACUGUCCCGCCAUGACAACAUCUUCCACCAAUGCCUGCCUCUUCCUCUUCUGCUGUCGUCACCUUUAUAAGAAUCAGCUACCCAGGAAAAAUGGCUUUUACUCAUAGGGGCCACCUUCUGAGAAUCCCCCAUAAAAGGAGAAGCUGUGUGUUUCCAGCUUAAGUCUGGCACUCAUCUCUGAAGGGUUUGUGGCUGUUUAGGUCCCCAAACAUGCUCCCGAUCUUAGAAGGCACACUACUGCUGUAAGGUGCAUCAGGCUCUCAACUGGAAAUCAGGAUACAAGCAGGUGUGUUGGCAACCAGAUUGUUUUGGACCAUGCAAUUCCAGACCACAACUUCAUUUUUCUGAAUUGGAAAUUGUAAUAGAAACAGAAGAUGACAUUAUGCCUGAAGUUGUGGAAAAAGAAGAUGCUGCAGAGAUUGUGGGCAGCGUAGGUGAAGCACUUGAGGAAGAACUAGAUUCCAUGGCAAAACAUGAAUCCAGGGAGAUAAAAUUUUCCAGAAGUUUAAAACUCAAAUAGCCCUUGAACCCAGAACAGAAUCUCAGAUAUGGCAGAGGUCUUGCCCCCAUCUGGAUUUCUGGUGAAAAUAUCCCUCAAGAAAAGGAUAUUCCAGAUUGCCCCUGUGGUUCCAAGAUAAUAUUUGAAUUCCAAAUCAUGCUUCAGCUGCUGAACUACCUGAAGGCCGACAGACUGGGCAGGAGUGUGGACUGGGGCAUCCUGGCUAUCUUCACCUAUGCUGAGAGUUGUAGCUUGGAUACUGGCUAUACAGAGGAAUAUGUGUGGAAGCAGGAUGUAGCAGAUUUACCUUAAGGGCAUCUUAAAGCCUUAAAAAAUAUUAAUGAUCUUACACCUUAUAAUUCCUUUUCUAGGACUUUAUCCUAAGGAAAUAAUUAUACCAGAAAUAGAGGCACAGAGAUACAGAGAUAGAGAUGUUGCUUGAGGCAUUGUUUACAGUGUCUAAAUAUUAAUAAAACAAAAAUGUCCAAUGACAGGGAAUUAAAUAAAUUUUGGUGUUCCAUAGUGGAAGGCUACACAGUCUUAAUGAUGCACAUCUAUGUGGACAGUAAAUAAGAUAUAGAUAUAAAGUGACACUAAAUACAAUUAUAACUGGUAUUCAUUGUAUGACCAUAUUUUUAUAAAAAUAUUUAUACAUGUAUAUGUGCACAGAAAUAAAUCUAGAAAGACAAAAUUUAAAAAGACCUAUUAUUAAACUAUAGUAAUUAAGAUAGUGCCAUUUAUGUACAAGGAUGAACAAAUAUCUAGUUAUAACUAACCAUGAGAAAAUGAACAAAUGUCUUAAAGAAACCACAGAUUAAAGAUAAUACAGUCAUGCACUGCAUAAUGAUGUUUCAGUCAACAACAACAAUACAUGUAUGACAGU